AUUGAACGCUGGCGGCAGGCCUAACACAUGCAAGUCGAGCGGAGCGGCGGACGGGUGAGUAAUGCAUAGGAAUCUGCCUGGUAGUGGGGGCUAACGUCCGGAAACGGGCGCUAAUACCGCAUACUCUCAGAUGAGCCUAGGGCGGAUUCGCUAGUGGGUGGGGUAAAGGCCUACCAAGGCGACGAUCCGUACCUGGUCUGAGAGGAUGAUCAGUCAGAUUGGAACUGAGACACGGUCAGGACUCCUACGGGAGGCAGCAGUGGGGAAUAUUGGACAAGGGGCGAAAGCCUGAUCCAGCCGUGCCGGGUGUGAGAAGAAGGUCUUCGGGUUGUAAAGCACUUGAAGUUGGGAGGCGUUACCAACAGAAUAAGCACAGGCUAACUUCGUGCCAGCAGCCGCGGUAAUAC
rnacentral:rRNA from 1 species